rnacentral:tRNA from 1 species
CGGGGUGUGGCUCAGCCUGGUCAGAGCGCCGCAUUCGGGAUGCGGAGGUCGGAGGUUCGAAUCCUCUCACCCCGA